AGUAACACGUGGAUAACCUACCUAUAAGACUGGGAUAACUUCGGUAAACCGGAGCUAAUACCGGAUAAUAUAUUGAACCGCAUGGUUCAAUAGUGAAAGACGGUUUUGCUGUCACUUAUAGAUGGAUCCGCGCUGCAUUAGCUAGUUGGUGAGGUAACGGCUUACCAAGGCAACGAUGCGUAGCCGACCUGAGAGGGUGAUCGGCCACACUGGAACUGAGACACGGUCCAGACUCCUACGGGAGGCAGCAGCG
rnacentral:rRNA from 1 species